CGUGCCUGUGAGGAAGAAACUGGAGCAAAAAAGAUGGAAACCCCAGCAAGGACGAUGAGAAAUGCUGGAGUCCUUCAUCCGAAUGGUAAAUGGCACUUGUGACAAAAAUCAAAGUAACUAAAAAAGAAUCUGGUUGAAACCUCAGUAACAGUUGGCCUGUCUACUGCCUCACACUAACAAGGGGGAGCUAAUAAAACCGAGGUUAGAACACACAAUGUGGAAAUGAAAACCUUAUUCUUGUCAAUGGAUGGAGGGUGGCCUGUACAAGAAACAUGGUGCCAGCAUCUGCUUCUGGUGAGGACUGCAGGAAGCUUCCAAUCAUGGUCCAAAAAAUGCGGAGCCUGCGUGUCACGUGAUAAGAGAUGGAGCGUGAGAAAGAGGCAGGAGGAGAAAGUGACCCCCACCUUUACAAGUGUCUGUAAUUCUCACUAGCAGUAUAUUAGAGGGCAAAAGAUUUGAACAGACACAUCAGAAAAGAAGACAUACAAAUGGCCGCUAAGCACUUGAAAGGAUUCUGAACACCAUUAGUCAUCAGUGAAAUGCAAAUUAAAGCCAUAAUGAAUGGCGCUAUACAUUUUCAGAAUGGCAAGGAUUGAAGACCGAAAAAAAUCAAGCGUUGAGGAGAGUGACAAAUGGGGAGACAGCCGUGGUGCAUGAUCGCCGAAUAAAUACCAUGUGAGGAUACAGCAAGAAGGUGGCCAUCUACAAGCCAAGGAGACAGGCCUCAGAAGAAACCAACCCUUCUUACACCCUGGACUCAGACUUCUAAUCUCCAGAACUUGUUAAUGCACAAGGUCUUGUGUUGAAAAUGUAGAGCCACGAGAUAAAAGCAGCUUGGAUGGCUGACUCAUAUACAAGGACAACUGCCUGAGAGUCACCAGGGCUAUCAAGAAGUUUGCAGAAACAAGAAAUAAACUUUUACUGUUUUAAACUUUUGUGAAUUUUGGGUUUUGUUUAUCACCAAAUAAACCUAGUCUAUUCUGAUUGUUAUAAGUGGUUAAUUUGGGAAGUCAGAUAUAUUUAAAAUUGGCUUACUGCUGUAACAUAUACAGUCCAAAUUACAUAAUGGCUCAAAUGCAAUAGAAGUCUUUUUUUUUUUUGCUCACAUAUCACUUCACUGAGAUUCUGCAUUAAUUGUAAUGAUGAGGGUGAGGGUGUCU
rnacentral:lncRNA from 1 species